CUCACUGCAGAAUUCUGAUGAGGCCAGGCCAUUUCGCGGCUGGUCUUUGAUGAGAAAAGGGAAUUGAGAUGUAGGUGACUGAUUUGGACCUUGAGAAGCUGAUGGGAUGUCACCCUGCUCUUUCUGACAGUGGGAAUGAGUCUGUGGAGAGGGGGCUUCCUGUGACCCCUGCCGGGCCUCCCGGAAGCUCAGCUCGGUCCCCGAGAAAUGAGAUGGGAAGGCAUCGCUGACACUCGGGCUGCAGUGAACUUCGAACUCCAUCCGCCUUGCCUGAUCGAGCUCGUCUAGGCGGCUUCGGGCUGGUGGCCACAGCUCCUCUGGGCUGAUGGGCAGAUGCUCCUUCCUCCUGCGUGGGGCAGGACCCAGGGGGCAGGCGGAAACCACCUCGUCUCUGAAAAAAAAGAAGACAGUGCCCAGAUGCAACUCAGACAAGAGAGGGCGAAGGAACUGAGUCAGUGCACUGUCAGACAGCCCCUUGGGAGGCUGGUCUGCGCUCCAGCGAUGCUUCAUGGGAAGGUGGAUGACACGACGGAAGUGUGUGUAGAAGAUGCAGGUUCUGUCAUAUGGUUGAGCCUGCGCUACCCCGUGAAUCCCUGACUUUUUCUCAGAACUGCUGGCCAACUGAUUCUCAAACCCAUCACUGUUGGAAACACCAUAAACGUCAAAUUUUAGACUUCGGCUUGGACGUCCAUUUUCUGGGGGUGGUAGAAGCCCAAUCCCCACCUGUAACAUUUACCCCUCUUGCCAAAUGCCAUUGUCUUUCUUUCUACUGCAAGUUAGUCUCUUGGCACAGAAAACGAAAACACAAAGAAGCAUGAGGAGCUGCAUCUUUUCUUGAAGAAGAAAAUCAUAUUUCUGGGUACCAGGCCAAUAGAAACGAAAGAGGAAAUCAGAGAUGGAUGCUUCUGAUAGGACUCUGGUUUGGUUGCAUCUUAAAGACUUAUUCAUAGAUGUUAGAAAGGAUAUGGCCCAAGGGACUGUGCAGUACAUACACCUCAAUUGAUUCAGACACAGAAAUGUCUUUGCAGCUCUUUAAGGAAAUGGGUACCCGUGGAAAAACGGCAGUUGACUGUAAUGAGUAACAAAGAUGGUGCCUGACGUGGGUUAGGAACAAAAGUCUGACCAAUGCGGAAUAGCUCUCACAUGUUAUGAUUUUAGCAUCUUUCUCAGAAUUCUCAGGAUGGUUUCCCACAUGUUCUCACGGAGCUUUGCACUGUUCUACAGUGUCAGGAGGCAGGCAUGCCAAUAUGGCACGAAAGAAGGCAUCGUGCCUUCAGAGAUGGCUGGGAGUUCCCCUGGGGGCUCAGUGGCAAUGAACCCGACUAAUAUCCACGAGGAUGCAGGUUUGAUCCCUGGCCUCGAUCAGUGGGUUAAAGAUCUGGCGUUGCCAUGAGCUGUGGUGUAGGUUGCAGAUGUGGCUUGGAUCCUAAGUUGCUAUGGCUGUGGUGUAGGCCGGCAGCUGCAGCUCUGGUUUGACCCCUAGCCUGGGAACCGCCAUGUGCUGUUGGUGUGGCCCUAAAAAGCAUAAAAAAAAAAAAAA
ensembl:lncRNA